UACGGAGGGGGCUAGCGUUGUUCGGAAUUACUGGGCGUAAAGCGCACGUAGGUGGCUUUGUAAGUUAGAGGUGAAAGCCCGGGGCUCAACUCCGGAAUUGCCUUUAAGACUGCAUCGCUAGAACGUCGGAGAGGUAAGUGGAAUUCCGAGUGUAGAGGUGAAAUUCGCAGAUAUUCGGAAGAACACCAGUGGCGAAGGCGGCUCACUGGACUGGUAUUGACGCUGAGGUGGCGAAAAGCG
rnacentral:rRNA from 1 species